UUGGUUUGUCUUAAAUCAAACUUAUCUAACUUUGACUAAGUUUAUAGAAAAAUAUAACAAUAUCUAUACUACCAAAUAUAUGCACUAUCAAAAGAUAUUCCACAAUAAAUUCAAAGAAAUAAAUUUGGUAUUGUAGAUGUUGCUAUAUUUUUCUAUAAACUUGGUCAAAGUUAAACAAGUUUGACUUAGGACAAACCAAA
rnacentral:pre_miRNA from 1 species